AGGCCUAACACAUGCAAGUCGAGCGGUAGCGGGCCUGACCACUCUCGAGUGGUUCAGGCGCCGACGAGCGGCGGACGGGUGCGUAACACGUAGGAAUCUGCCCGGUAGUGGGGGAUAGCCCGGAGAAAUUCGGAUUAAUACCGCAUACGCCCUAUGGGGGAAAGCAGGGGAUCUUCUGACCUUGCGCUAUCGGAUGAGCCUGCGUCGGAUUAGCUAGUUGGUGGGGUAAAGGCCUACCAAGGCGACGAUCCGUAGCUGGUCUGAGAGGAUGAUCAGCCACACUGGGACUGAGACACGGCCCAGACUCCUACGGGAGGCAGCAGUGGGGAAUAUUGCACAAUGGGCAAAAGCCUGAUGCAGCCAUGCCGCGUGUGU
rnacentral:rRNA from 1 species